AUGGAAGGCGCCGUCUUAGCCUUGCCUUCCCAGGAUCGCUCCCACACCUGUUGAGGGAGUCCUGGAUUAGGGGGUAUCCAGACAGCCGGAUUAUAUCGGCGGCAGAGCCCCCAACCGACGGGAGUAGUUACGUCCAGUAUGUCCCACGUCGAUUCCCGACAUGCUAUGAUACCAGGGUGGGUAGGAGCGAGUCGAGUCUGUAUCACCGUGGAACAACUGCAGCGCCCGGAUCUGAUCUAUCUACUUGGCAAUUCAUCCGGUGACUUCAUGGUCGCCAAAGAAGCCCCAAGAAGCAUCAAACAUUUCCGAUGA
rnacentral:rRNA from 1 species